UACGUAGGGUGCGAGCGUUAAUCGGAAUUACUGGGCGUAAAGCGUGCGCAGGCGGUUUUGUAAGCCAGGUGUGAAAUCCCCGGGCUCAACCUGGGAAUGGCAUUUGGGACUGCAAGGCUGGAGUGUGGCAGAGGAGACUGGAAUUCCUGGUGUAGCAGUGAAAUCGUAGAUAUCAGGAGGAAUACCGAUGGCGAAGGCAGGUCU
rnacentral:rRNA from 1 species